rnacentral:pre_miRNA from 1 species
GGACUCCCUCUGUGGGGUGAUUGAUCCGGGGGCCCCAUGAUCGAUUGCCCCACAGAGGGAGGCC